UCGCUGCUUGCGCAGGCAGUCUCGCUAGAGUCCCCGGCAUGAUCCGCUGGUAACUAGCAAUAGGGGUUGCGCUCGUUGCGCCACUUAAGGCAACACCUCACGGCACGAGCUGACGACAGCCAUGCAGCACCUGUGCGGGCCCCCGAAGGGGCACCGUGUUUCCACGGCGUCACCCCGCAUGUCAAGCCCUGGUAAGGUUCUUCGCGUUGCGUCGAAUUAAGCCACAUGCUCCGCCGCUUGUGCGGGUCCCCGUCAAUUCCCUUGAGUUUUAGCCUUGCGGCCGUACUCCCCAGGCGGAACACUUAUCGCGUUAGCUGCGGCACAGAGGGAUUCGACUCCCCCCACACCUAGUGUUCAUCGUUUACGGCUAGGACUAC
rnacentral:misc_RNA from 1 species